UGGGUCCUGUAGUUGGCAAUAACAAGUUCUUUGCCCUACAAAUAUAUGAAAGGAAGCGGUCCCUGAUUAUGGUGAGCAAGCUCAUGUAAAUUGAGAAGCCUAAAAUGAUUAAAUACUGCAUCCACCUGUCGAUUGACGGGCGGAGACUUUCGAAAAACCAACUAUGGGACUCUU
rnacentral:other from 1 species